rnacentral:lncRNA from 1 species
CAAUAACAACAUGUACUUUAGUUUAACCCACACAGUUAAAAGUUCUAAUAAACUAAAACUAAAAUUCUUCAAUAUCUUUAUAUUUUAUGACAUCAGUAUCAUAUUCACCAUCUUCAUUAGAAAAUCAUUUCCUUCACGUUUGACAUUAACUAAAUUACUAAUAGUCUACAUUUACAACCAUUAACCAAUAAUCUAAUAUUCUGUAAAUUAUAAAAUUAAAAUAAUAAAUCCUAGUGACCUAGACUAUAAAAGCUUAAAACAAAAAAAAAUCUAAAUGACUAAAUUCUAAUCUAUGAAAGCUUAAAAAAAAUCAUGGCAAAAAACAGCGAUGACAACAGAGUCAAAGAUGUCGUAUAAAAGCCAAAAAAUGACAGACUUAACGACAGCAAAGGAAAAAUAGGUGAAUUCGUGAACAGCAGCAGCAAGGUGGAGUUGCGAACAACAAAAACGCGAAAAAAGGUAGAGUAGAGAGCAACAGAGGUAGAGACCCAUGAAGAUGAUGGCACAAAGCAGAGUAGAGUAGCAGACGCAGGUGGAUGGCGGCAACGCAACGACAAGCAGAAAAUAAGAGAGUGAGACUUGAGAUGAGAGAAAUGACGUAGAUGAGUGAGUUUGAGUGGUGAGUGAGUGCUUUAGGAAUGUUAUUGUAGCCUAAUAGAAAAACAUGUGUGGGUUUUUUUUUCAGGUCAAAACAAUGCCAUUUUUGGAUAAAAUUGGGCAAAAACACAAAUUUGCUGACUCGGUCCUGGACUCGUGAGUUUGACUGAGUCUAGCCGAGUUUACUUAGGAUCGAGUUUAUGUUCGAGUCAACUCGAUUUCACAACUAAAUUUGUAACGAGUUUAUGAGUUAACUCGCGAGUUUGACAACGAUGACUAAGAUGGUAUAUUUUUAUUAGAGAAAUACUAGGGGCAAUCAAAAUUUAUUAUUUUUUGCUAUCACUUAGCUAUAACUCAAUU